GUGUGUGUAAUUUAAAAAAAAUAUCAAGUUGUGACCCUGAAAAUAGAUCAUCCUCACACACC
rnacentral:tRNA from 1 species